rnacentral:tRNA from 1 species
GCCGCUGUGGUGGAAUUGGCAGACGCGUCGGACUCAAAAUCCGAUGGUAGCGAUACCGUAUCGGUUCGACCCCGAUCAGCGGCACCA